rnacentral:rRNA from 1 species
UACGGAGGGUGCAAGCGUUGCUCGGAAUUAUUGGGCGUAAAGGGUAGGUAGGUGGUCUCAUUUGUCUGAGGUGAAAGCCUUGGGCUUAACUCAAGAAGUGCCUCAGAAACGGUGAGACUAGAGUCCUGGAGAGGGUCGUGGAAUUCCCGGUGUAGCGGUGAAAUGCGUAGAUAUCGCUUGGAACGCCAAAGGUGAAGACAGGUGACUGGGGGUGUGCCGACGCUGAGACGCGAAAGCCAGGGGAGCAAACGGG